rnacentral:lncRNA from 1 species
GGCUUUAUUAUAAAUGGUUAAAACACGACCUACAGAAACUAGGCAAAGUACUCAAAAUAUAAAGAUAAAUAAGUUGAAAUUCUUACUCUUGGUUAAAGGGUAAAACAUAUCCAUAAUUAGAAAAUUACAUUCUGCCAAGUAAAAUAUAGAUAAACAUAGAGGAGAAACAUCUAACACAUUAAACCUUACUGGAGGAUAUGACAUUCCUCCCUGGAGGAUAUGACAUUCCUCCAACGUGGCAAAAAGAUUCCUGGUAGAACAGCAGAGACAGAAAGAUGGAGAUGGGACACAGCAUUGGUUUCUGGAAGUUAAGUGUGGACCAGUGCUGGAAGUACUUGGAAGAAGUAAAAGGGAUGGAUAAUGGACAACUUUUCACGCUUCCCUGUUAUCUCAUUUAAUUUUCUCCACUUAUAAGAAGACCAGCUUCACAUGUUAUCAUGGCUAUUUCACAGAUUAGAAAACUUUUGAGCAACAGUAACAACAAUAAAAAAGAACACUAGAUUCUAAGAAGAUAGAUCUGAAUACUUCAGAUUAAAGAGUAAAUAACUGGAGGUGAGGUUGAGAAUGGGAAGAAAGCAGAAAUACAAAAUAAUAGAGUGAUGAUCACAUCCCAUGGAAAAGGAGAGAGACUGGGCUGAUGGCCGGAGAGGUAUAUGGUCAAGGGAGAUAUUUUGCUUUAUUUCAUUUACAUAUGUCUUUAUACUGAAGCUUAAAGCAAGGAGGAAAUAGAAGGUACUGAAGAAAAAUAAUGAUUAGGAGAAGAGACUAGAAAAUAAGAGAGAAUGAGACAAAGGAAAAGCUAAGAUGAUUUUUUAAGCACUUCAGUUCUUUCCUCCCAAUAUAUGACUAUUUCUAUCAAAUACAAAGAUGUUACGCAAUUUGAAAAAUAUUUUUCAGUUUUGGCAUAUAUCUGCAAAAAGGAUGUUAUCUUCAAGAAUCAUACGUCUUUUGAAAAAUGUUUCCAAGUGAUUGUUCCUGAUGCUGCUCUGAUCAAAAAUCAGGUUUGGAUGAAUGAAAAGGACAUUCAUGAGAGACUCCAGAAGAACCAGGCCUUUUCAGUGAAAGUAAACAACUUACGGAAUAAAGACGAGUGUAGAUCUGCUCUGACAAUGAUUAAAGGAAAGAAGACAUAUUGAUCUACUUUUAGCUCAGAAUUCAUGCAAGAAAUAAGUUUUUGUACUAAAAUGGUUUUAAAGUGCCCCUCUCUCUGCUAGAGUGAACAGAGAAUGCUGAAAGCCACAAGAAAAGGCAUUCACCAAAGAGAACAGAGCCAGGAGAGAGCCUCUGGGAAAGAGAAGGCUUUAGAGACAUCGUUUUAACUUGGCAGUAAAGCAAACAAGCAACAUAGCCACAGGACUGUUGGAGUGCGACAAUGUUUUCUCUAGAAAUAAACACUCAAGUCUUAAGGAUUUGUUU